rnacentral:rRNA from 1 species
AGUGAACGCUGGCGGUAGGCCUAACACAUGCAAGUCGAACGGCAGCACAGUAAGAGCUUGCUCUUACGGGUGGCGAGUGGCGGACGGGUGAGGAAUACAUCGGAAUCUACUUUUUCGUGGGGGAUAACGUAGGGAAACUUACGCUAAUACCGCAUACGACCUACGGGUGAAAGCAGGGGAUCUUCGGACCUUGCGCGAUUGAAUGAGCCGAUGUCGGAUUAGCUAGUUGGCGGGGUAAAGGCCCACCAAGGCGACGAUCCGUAGCUGGUCUGAGAGGAUGAUCAGCCACACUGGAACUGAGACACGGUCCAGACUCCUACGGGAGGCAGCAGUGGGGAAUAUUGGACAAUGGGCGCAAGCCUGAUCCAGCCAGACCGCGUGGGUGAAGAAGGCCUUCGGGUUGUAAGCCCUUUUGUUGGGAAAGAAAAGCAGCAGGUUAAUACCCCGCUGUUCUGACGGUACCCAAAGAAUAAGCACCGGCUAACUUCGUG